CCCUCUCCAUCCGAUGGCUGCCGGCUCACCUCGAGCUCGUCACGCGGAUCGUGCCCCCCAUCCACCGCCUCUCCGCGUUCUCCGCUCGCCCCCAUGCUCGCAGAUGCCCGCGCUCCCUCCCUAUAAGUUCCCUGCGUUGGUUUGCUCUUCAUCCUCCACCAAUGUCUUCUCAUCCCUCCCCCACAAAACUCGUCUGCUUCCACCAAUAGUCGCUGCACGGCAUGGUGAGGCCGGAUGGCCAUGCAUGCCGGCGGACAUGACGCCUGCUGUGUGCCAGACAUGGUGGCGAGGUCACACUGAUGCUCGUCUCCCGGCGGCCGCAACCUGAGACAUCUAGAUCGCCCUAACAACUCAGUGGUUUUCUUGAUCUAACUUGGCACAAUUCUGUUUUGUCUAAUAAACCAUGUACUUGUGGUGCAGCGCUGGGAGAUAUGGUGCUAGAUAGCUAGCUGCUGGGAUUGGAACCGGAGGGUGAGAUGCAGGCAUGUUCCUGAAUAAGAUCACUUGCCAAUCAACAUUCAGGGAUGCCUUGCUGACCAUAAGGAGCUCCUUUGUGCCCUUGUUGGCAUUGCGACGACAAAGGCUGCCGAUGGAGCACAAGGGUUUUCCCAAACUGCUCUCAUGACAGAAAGACCAAUGGCUUUCAUUCACAUUUAGGUACCAGAUUCUCGUCAGGGAGAAGAUCGAGCACCCUCAGCACGAUUUGUUCCUGGUGCAGUUCGCCCUCAAGCGACAAGGAG